GACGAACGCUGGCGGCGUGCUUAACACAUGCAAGUCGAACGGAAAGGCCCUGCUUUUGUGGGGUGCUCGAGUGGCGAACGGGUGAGUAACACGUGAGUAACCUGCCCUUGACUUUGGGAUAACUUCAGGAAACUGGGGCUAAUACCGGCUAGGAGCUCCUGCUGCAUGGUGGGGGUUGGUAAGUUUCGGCGGUUGGGGAUGGACUCGCGGCUUAUCAGCUUGUUGGUGUGGUAGUGGCUUACCAAGGCUUUGACGGGUAGCCGGCCUGAGAGGGGGACCAGCCACAUUAGGACUGAGAUACGGCCCAGACUCCUACGGGAGGCAACAGUGGAGAAUAUUGCACAAUGGGAGGAAGCCUGAUGCAGCAACGCCGCGUGCGGGAUGACGGCCUUCGGGUUGUAAACCACUUUCGCCUGUGACGAAGCGUGAGUGACGGUAAUGGGUAAAGAAGCACCGGCUAACUACGUG
rnacentral:rRNA from 1 species